UAUGGUCACAUCAUGUUAAAACAUCGCUUCCCAUACGAUCAUCGAAAUUAAGCAACGUCGAACCUGGUCAGUACCUAGAUGGGUGACCGCUUGGGAAAACCAGAUGA
rnacentral:rRNA from 1 species